GCACAAGCGGUGGAUGAUGUGGAUUAAUUCGAUGCAACGCGAAGAACCUUACCUACCCUUGACAUGUCCGGAACUUGCCAGAGAUGGCUUGGUGCCCGAAAGGGAAUCGGAACACAGGUGCUGCAUGGCUGUCGUCAGCUCGUGUCGUGAGAUGUUGGGUUAAGCCCCGCAACGAGCGCAACCCUUAUCAUUAGUUGCUACGCAAGGGCACUCUAAUGAGACUGCCGGUGACAAACCGGAGGAAGGUGGGGAUGACGUCAAGUCCUCAUGGCCCUUAUGGGUAGGGCUUCACACGUCAUACAAUGGUCGGUACAGAGGGUUGCCAAGCCGCGAGGCGGAGCCAAUCCCACAAAGCCGAUCGUAGUCCGGAUUGUUCCCUGCAACUCGAGAGCAUGAAGUCGAAAUCGCUAGUAAUCGCAGGUCAGCAUACUGCGGUGAAUACGUUCCCGGGUCUU
rnacentral:rRNA from 1 species